rnacentral:rRNA from 1 species
AUGGAUUGGAAUUAUGAUUCAUCUGAUGAAGACUACAUCUAUGAUGAAGAUUCAGAUGGUCAUAUAAUGAAGAGUAGGAGCACACUCCCAAGAUACAACACUAAAAGUGAAGUACCACAUUUUGCUUUAACCAUGGUUUUUAGAAGCAAGAAUCAGUGUAAAGCUUUGAGAAGAUAUGGACUAGUAACAAAAAGGAGCAUCUUGUUCAUGAAAUCUGAGUGUGAUGGAGUGAGAGCAAAGUGUGGAUGGCCUGGCUACUCAUGGCUUAUAUAUGCAGCCAAGAGAUCAAGAACUUCAAGAUUCCAAGUGAUAACAUACAAUGAUGAUCACCAAUGUGCACAUAACAAAUGCAACAAAUUGGUUACUGCAAAGGUGAUUGCACAGAGGUAUGCACACUUCAUAUUGGCAAAUCCUAUGUGGAAAAUUAACAGCAUGAAAGCAACUGUUUUGCAAGAUAUGUUUGCUAAUGUCUCAACUUCAAAGUGCAAGCAUGCAAACAAAAAAUUUCAUGGAAAAAUUGUUGUGUGGAAUGAACAAUGA